AGCCUUGCAUCUCUCCAGCCUGACAUUCCUGUUUGGGGUUGGUCAAUUUCACCUUAAUACCUCCAAUGGUGAGAAGAGCUCAGCAAGCCUUGUUUGUCAAAGGUUUAUACCAAGGGAGAAAUUGCUGAGCCAUAUGCUAUUUAAGAGUUUUAC
rnacentral:lncRNA from 13 species